ACAAUGAACCCAGCUCACGGGAGCUUGCAGUCUAACACAGGAAACAGCCACCUGCAUCUGUAAAGGUACUGAUGAGACCUCUUUAGUAUUACACUGGCAACUGACUGCACUGCGGAUAUGUUUGGAAUAAGGUUCAAAAGAAGAGGCUGUUCUAAGAAAGACUACCGAGUAAUCAAUCACCUCCUCAGAGAAAGUCUGCUCAGGGACCAGCUCUGUGAACACGGCAAGUAAUAACAGACAGAAAACGUGAUGAGAAAAGAGAGACCGGGAUUUUGAAAUCCUAUUUCCUGAAUGCCAUCUCACCAGGCACACGGAAGAAUAAAAUUAAGGAAUCAAGA
rnacentral:antisense_RNA from 1 species